GCUCCUGCGGUUACUAAGUAGGCCACUUUACAUCUGAUAAAAACGCUGUUUUCGCUCAGACUUUCCAGCGAGGCAGGAAAUGAUAACAGCCAGCCUUCUUCUGCUUUAUAUACACAGAGAGGUAAGUGCAGCAGAUUCAAACUGGGCUCUUCACAUUCAGGACGGCUGGAUUCUCGGGGGCUGUCUUGUGGACAGGAGAACAUUCAGAGGCAAGAUGCCGGUCAGAUUCAGCGACAUGAGUAACCUGGCCUCCCCGAAGACGGUGAGCCGGCUGCUGGAGAUGCUCUUCACCUGCGCGGCCUUCAGCCUGGCGAGGGCAGCGGGGCUCCGCGGCUGGAGCGAGGCCUUCGCCACUUUCGCCAUGUUCACCUGGUGCUUCUCCUUCGCCGCCACCCUGCUCGUCUUCCUGGCCGAGUUCACGCAGUUCCACAGCCUCCUCGCCCUCUCGUGGAAGAGCCUGCCCGUCACAGUGGCCGCCUUCUCUGCCCUCAUGAACAUGGCGGCCUCGGUCACCUACCCGCUGAUGGUGCUGAGUGUGGCCAUGGCCCAGGAGAACUGGAGCGAACUCUCUCCUCCUUACCAGAUCGCCGCCGCCCUCGCCUCCUGCCUGGCCUUUCUGGCCUACUCGGUCGAGCUCCUCGUCCUCCUUCUCCUCCUCAACAAGGACGGCGAGGGCAGAACGGCUUACAUGGCGACCGGCCCCGGUCUGCUCAAGGUUCUCGAGGUUUCUCUGGCCUGCGUCGUGUGCGUUACCCUGACAACCGUCAGCAGUCCGGAGUUCGCGGGCUUCCGUUGGGCCGUUGGCGCGCUCUGCGCCUGCGCCCUGCUCUCGCUGGCGGUCAUCCUCAUCAUGGUGGGCGAGUGUCGGGCCCGCUGCCCGUUCCCCUUCCCCCGGCUCCUGCUGGUCUUCAGCGUCCUGGCCUUCCUCCUGCAGGGGGCCGUGCUGGCGGUCUGGGCUCUCCAGCUCCGUCGCGAAGCCCGAGGGCCGGACAAGUGCUCACAGAUGAACUGCCGCUGGAACCAGAUGCUUCUGUCCGCCGCUCUCAUCGCCCUGAACCUCACGGCCUACCUGACCGACCUGAUUUACUCCAUCCAACUGAGCUGCUGCAGGAGCUGACAUUCUGCCAGACUGUGUCCUGGGCUGAGGAUCCUUUGCAUCACUCCCAUCUGGGAGAAUGAUUGGAAGAAUGUGGGCAGAGUCUGCACAAUUUCCGUCUUUACUUACAUAUCCAAUCUAGACCAGGUGCUUCCAUGGAUGACAUUAUCUGCUUGUCAAAUGAUUCACUGUAUGAUCCUGGAAUGUAGGUGCUCAUCGUGCUCCCAGUUCCCAUAAAUAUGGAAUCUUUGAACUAGACAGUUUCCGCCAUUGUCUUCCACUGAAUCUUGGGUUUCAGACAAGACUGUAGUUUCUCAAGUGAUGAGUUAGCAAUCAGUUGAAGACUGAAUGAGUUGCUUAUGUGUGACCCUCAAAGGUCAGACUGUACACUGUCUGACGAGGAUGCUUAUUUAGUGAGUAGCACAGAAAACCUUGAAUUCUAUUUGGUUUAAACUGUAUCAGUUUAUGUGUUUAAUAUAUUUUGUAUUUUAUAAAUAAGGCAAUUCUGUUGGG